AUUGAACGCUGGCGGCAGGCCUAACACAUGCAAGUCGCGCGAGCGGCGGACGGGUGAGUAAUGUAUGGGGAUCUGCCCGAUAGAGGGGGAUAAAUACUGGAAACGGUGGCUAAUACCCCAUAACAUCGGAUGAACCCAUAUGGGAUUAGCUAGUAGGUGGGGUAAAGGCUCACCUAGGCGACGAUCGCUAGCUGGUCUGAGAGGAGUAUCAGCCACACGUGAACAGGGAGCGGGCCCAGACUAAUACGGUAGGCAGCAGUGGGGAAUAUUGCACAUUGGGGGCAAGCGUGAUGAAGCCAUGACGGGUGUAUGAAGAAGGCCUUAGGGUUGUAAAGUACUUUCAGCGGGGAGGCGUUACCCGAAGAAGAAGCACCGGCUAACUCCGUGCCAGCAGCCGCGGUAAUAC
rnacentral:rRNA from 1 species